UACAGGGGGUGCAAACGUUGCUCGGAAUCAUUGGGCGUAAAGCGCACGUAGGCGGUUCGUUAUGUCGGAUGUGAAAGCCCUUGGCUUAACCGAGGAAGUGCAUCCGAAACUGGCGAGCUAGAGUACUAAAGAGGAUCGCGGAAUUCCCGGUGUAGAGGUGAAAUUCGUAGAUAUCGGGAGGAACACCGGUGGCGAAGGCGGGUCUCUGGGCCGAUACUGACGCUGAGGAGCGAAAGCAUGGGUAGCGAACAGG
rnacentral:rRNA from 1 species